rnacentral:ncRNA from 1 species
ACCGAGAGAGACCGCGGACACCGCGGCGCCGAAGGGGAACGCAAAAACUCUCAGGCAAAAGGAUCGG